GAGAUAGAGCUUCCCCUUCGGGGGCAAAGUGACAGGUGGUGCAUGGUUGUCGUCAGCUCGUGUCGUGAGAUGUUGGGUUAAGUCCCGCAACGAGCGCAACCCUUAUUGUUAGUUGCCAUCAUUUAGUUGGGCACUCUAGCGAGACUGCCGGUGACAAACCGGAGGAAGGUGGGGAUGACGUCAAAUCAUCAUGCCCCUUAUGACCUGGGCUACACACGUGCUACAAUGGGAAGUACAACGAGUUGCGAAGUCGCGAGGCUAAGCUAAUCUCUUAAAGCUUCUCUCAGUUCGGAUUGUAGGCUGCAACUCGCCUACAUGAAGCCGGAAUCGCUAGUAAUCGCGGAUCAGCACGCCGCGGUGAAUACGUUCCCGGGCCUUGUACACACCGCCCGUCACACCACGAGAGUUUGUAACACCCGAAGUCGGUGAGGUAACCUUUUUGGAGCCAGCCGCCUAAGGUGGGAUAGAUGAUUGGGGUGAAGUCGUAACAAGGUAGCCGUAUCGGAAGG
rnacentral:rRNA from 1 species